CAGCUUUACAGUUUUAAGUAGUUAAUGGAGAAUGUUUGCUAAUUAGUACAUAUCAGAUGGAGUAGGAUUGCAAACGUAUUGUGUGUUUUAUGGCUCUGAAUGUUUUUCCAUCUAACCACAUUUUUUUGUGGUGAGUUGGCUUUGUAGGGGACACCUGAUGGCAAAACAGCUAAUAAAUCCACAAAGGGAGAUAUAAUGAGUGCUGUUAUCAGGAAAAAUGCUGGCAAUGAGAACGUUAUCAG